rnacentral:rRNA from 1 species
UCCACAAUGGGCGCAAGCCUGAUGGAGCAACACCGCGUGAGUGAAGAAGGUUUUCGGCUCGUAAAGCUCUGUUGUUAAAGAAGAACAUGCGUGAGAGUAACUGUUCACGCAUUGUCGGUAUUUAACCAGAAAGUCACGGCUAACUACGUGCCAGCAGCCGCGGUAAUACGUAGGUGGCAAGCGUUAUCCGGAUUUAUUGGGCGUAAAGAGAGUGCAGGCGGUUUAAUUAGUCUGAUGUGAAAGCCUUCGGCUUAACCGGAGAAGGGCAUCGGAAACUGGCUAACUUGAGUGCAGAAGAGGGUAGUGGAACUCCAUGUGUAGCGGUGGAAUGCGUAGAUAUAUGGAAGAACCCCAGUGGCGAAGGCGGCUACUUGGUCUGUAACUGACGCUGAGACUCGAAAGCAUGGGUAGCGAACAGGAUUAGAUACCCUGGUAGUCCAUCCCGUAAACGAUGAGCCCUAAGUGGGGAGGGUUUUUGCCUCCCAAUGCCGGGGAUAACGCAUUAAGCACUCUGCCUGGGGGGGACGUCCGCACGGUUGAAACUCAAAGGAAUUGACGGGGGCCCGCACAAGCGGUGGAGCAUGAGGUGUAAUUUGAAGAUACGCGAAGAACCUUUCCAGGUCUUGACAUCUUUGCGCCAACCCUUGAGAUAGGGCGUUUCCUUCGAGAAAACAAUGACAGGUGGGGCAUGGUCGUUGUCAGCUCGUGUCGUGAGAUGUUGGGUUAAGUCCCGCAACGAGCGCAACCCUCGUUACUAGUUGCCAGCAUUCCGUUGGGCACUCUAGUGAGACUGCCGGUGACAAACCGGAGGGAGGUGGGGACGACGUCAGAUCAUCAUGCCCCUUUUGACCUGGGGUGCACACGUGCUACAAUGGACGGUACAACGAGUCGCGAACUCGCGAGGGCAAGCAAAUCUUUGAAAACCGUUCUCAGUUCGGACUGCAGGCUGCAACUCGCCCGCACGAAGUUGGAAUCGCUAGUAAUCGCGGAUCAGCAUGCCGCGGUGAAUACGUUCCCGGGCCUUGUACUCACCGCCCGUCA